GUGGGGUAAUGGCCUACCAAGGCGACGACGGGUAGCCGGCCUGAGAGGGCGACCGGCCACACUGGGACUGAGACACGGCCCAGACUCCUACGGGAGGCAGCAGUGGGGAAUAUUGCACAAUGGGCGGAAGCCUGAUGCAGCGACGCCGCGUGAGGGAUGACGGCCUUCGGGUUGUAAACCUCUUUCAGCAGGGACGAAGCGCAAGUGACGGUACCUGCAGAAGAAGCGCCGGCCAACUACGUGCCAGCAGCCGCGGUAAGACGUAGGGCGCGAGCGUUGUCCGGAUUUAUUGGGCGUAAAGAGCUCGUAGGCGGCUUGUCGCGUCGACUGUGAAAACCCGUGGCUCAACUGCGGGCCUGCAGUCGAUACGGGCAGGCUAGAGUUCGGUAGGGGAGACUGGAAUUCCUGGUGUAGCGGUGAAAUGCGCAGAUAUCAGGAGGAACACCGGUGGCGAAGGCGGGUCUCUGGGCCGAUACUGACGCUGAGGAGCGAAAGCGUGGGGAGCGAACAGGAUUAGAUACCCUGGUAGUCCACGCUGUAAACGUUGGGCGCUAGGUGUGGGGGGCCUCUCCGGUUCUCUGUGCCGCAGCUAACGCAUUAAGCGCCCCGCCUGGGGAGUACGG
rnacentral:rRNA from 1 species